UGGUCCGUUGGUCAAGAGGUUAAGACACCGCCCUUUCACGGCGGUAUCACGGGUUCGAAUCCCGUACGGACCAU
rnacentral:tRNA from 1 species